UAAUAUAGAAUUUGAGUUUUUUGGCUCUGGGGAUAGUAUGAUCGCAAGAUUGAAAAUUAAAGAAAUUGACGGAAGAAUACCACAAGGAGUGGAUUGUGCGGCUUAAUUUGACUCAACGCGAGGUAACUUACCAAUAUUUUAUUAUUUUGAGAGAACGGUUUUUUGUUUGAGAAUGAUAAUAGUGGUGCAUGGCCGUUUUCAAUGGAUGCUGGG
rnacentral:rRNA from 1 species